rnacentral:sRNA from 1 species
GCUGGGCGCGGUGGCCCACGCCUGUCAUCCCAGCGGCUGGGGAGGCUGAGGCAGGAGGAUGGUGGGGUCAAAGCCAGCCUCAGCAAUUUAGGGAAGUCCUAAGCAACUCAGCGAGACCCUGUCUCUA